rnacentral:rRNA from 1 species
UAGUCAUAUGCUUGUCUCAAAGAUUAAGCCAUGCAUGUCUCAGUGUAAACUUUUAAACAGUGAAACUGCGAAUGGCUCAUUAAAACAGUUAUAGUUUAUUUGGUAAUCAUUUUUACAUGGAUAACCGUGGGAAUUCUAGGGCUAAUACAUGCGUAAACCCGCAAGGGAUGUGUUUAUUAGAUUAAAACCAACACGUAUUUCGGUACGUUUUAUUGGAAUGAUAAUAACCGUUCGAAUCGCACGCUUUAUGUGGCGAUAGACCAUUCAAGUUUCUGAC